CGGCUUGAAGAUGAGGAGCUUAUCGCAUACAUGUUGCGCGGCCUUGGUCCGGACUACGAUCCACUGGUGACAAGCAUCACCACGCGCGCCGACGCCUACUCCAUCAGCGACGUCUACGCGUAUAUGCUCAGCUACGAGA